AGUACUGCAAUUACUCUAGACAAUGCAUCAAUAUUUACAAGUUCUAUUUUUGCUUCAGCAAGAGAAUGCAAGCUCGGAACAAAGAAUAAGUAAUGAACAUCCUGCACAUUCCUUUGAACGAGGGAAUGUGGCACUACCUCGACAUCCCCUUGUUAUGUAACAAACUGCACCGAAAUGAUUUUAAUCUUCUUUAUGACAGGAUCCACAACAAACUAACAGCA
rnacentral:lncRNA from 1 species